GACGAACGCUGGCGGCGUGCCUAAUACAUGCAAGUCGAACGAGAGCGACCGGUGCUUGCACUGGUCAAUCUAGUGGCGAACGGGUGAGUAACACGUGGGUAACCUGCCCAUCAGAGGGGGAUAACAUCCGGAAACGGAUGCUAAAACCGCAUAGGUCUUCGAGCCGCAUGGCUUGAAGAGGAAAAGAGGCGCAAGCUUCUGCUGAUGGAUGGACCCGCGGUGCAUUAGCUAGUUGGUGAGGGAACGGCUCACCAAGGCCGUGAUGCAUAGCCGACCUGAGAGGGUGAUCGGCCACAUUGGGACUGAGACACGGCCCAAACUCCUACGGGAGGCAGCAGUAGGGAAUCUUCCGCAAUGGACGCAAGUCUGACGGAGCAACGCCGCGUGAGUGAAGAAGGUUUUCGGAUCGUAAAACUCUGUUGUUAGAGAAGAACAAGUGCUAGAGUAACUGUUAGCGCCUUGACGGUAUCUAACCAGAAAGCCACGGCUAACUACGUG
rnacentral:rRNA from 1 species